rnacentral:tRNA from 1 species
GGAAGAUUGGCAGAGCGGCUAUUGCAGUGGUCUUGAAAACCGCCGGGUGUAAAAGCUCCAUCCGUUCGAAUCGGAUAUCUUCCUCCA